GGGGUCGACUAGGUUUCGACUUCGUGCAUUGAGCCAGGGGAAGCGUGCCGGUGCAGGCAGAGGACCACCGAUUUUAAGCGUCGCUGCAAACCAUUAAGCGCCGAGACCUCUCAGCGCGACUACGCCCUCGCUGCCUAAUCCAGCGAGCGCGUGUCUGUCGGCCUAGGUUCGUUCCCGACCUAGUUACCGGCAUCGACUCAGGGGACUUGCUGCACGGCCCCGCCGCCCGGGCCGUGUGGGACACCUUAGGGUGGCUGGGCCCGUCGUCCGGACUAGUUCGUGAGAUCCGGAGGGCCGAGCAGGGACACUAAGACGGACUGCGCACGGAGAAGCCCUGGCAAGGUCGCGAAGGACCCGGGUUCAAUUCCCGGCGGCUCCACUC
rnacentral:tmRNA from 1 species